GACGAACGCUGGCGGCGUGCUUAACACAUGCAAGUCGAACGGAAAGGCCCUGCUUUUGUGGGGUGCUCGAGUGGCGAACGGGUGAGUAACACGUGAGUAACCUGCCCUUGACUUUGGGAUAACUUCAGGAAACUGGGGCUAAUACCGGAUAGGAGCUCCUGCUGCAUGGUGGGGGUUGGAAAGUUUCGGCGGUUGGGGAUGGACUCGCGGCUUAUCAGCUUGUUGGUGGGGUAGUGGCUUACCAAGGCUUUGACGGGUAGCCGGCCUGAGAGGGUGACCGGCCACAUUGGGACUGAGAUACGGCCCAGACUCCUACGGGAGGCAGCAGUGGGGAAUAUUGCACAAUGGGCGGAAGCCUGAUGCAGCAACGCCGCGUGCGGGAUGACGGCCUUCGGGUUGUAAACCGUUUUCGCCUGUGACGAAGCGUGAGUGACGGUAAUGGGUAAAGAAGCAUCGGCUAACUACGUG
rnacentral:rRNA from 1 species